rnacentral:rRNA from 1 species
UACGGGGGGGGCAAGCGUUGUUCGGAAUUACUGGGCGUAAAGGGCUCGUAGGUGGCCAACUAAGUCAGACGUGAAAUCCCCAGGCUCAACUUGGGAACUGCGUCUGAUACUGGAUGGCUUGAAUUCGGGAGAGGGAUGCAGAAUUCCAGGUGUAGCGGUGAAAUGCGUAGAUAUCUGGAGGAAUACCGGUGGCGAAGGCGGCAUCCUGGACCGAGAUUGACACUGAUGAGCGAAAGCUAGGGGGAGCAAACGGG